rnacentral:rRNA from 1 species
UACGGAGGAUGCGAGCGUUAUCCGGAUUUAUUGGGUUUAAAGGGUGCGUAGGCGAAUUUUUAAGUCAGCGGUAAAAUGUCCGGGCUCAACCCGGGCCGGCCGUUGAAACUGGGGAUCUUGAGUGGGCGAGAAGUAUGCGGAAUGCGUGGUGUAGCGGUGAAGUGCAUAGAUAUCACGCAGAACUCCGAUUGCGAAGGCAGCAUACCGGCGCCCGACUGACGCUGAGGCACGAAAGCGUGGGGAUCGAACAGG